UACAGAGGUCCCAAGCGUUGUUCGGAUUCACUGGGCGUAAAGGGUGCGUAGGCGGUCGGGUAAGUCUGGCGUGAAAUCUCCAAGCCUAACUUGGAAACUGCGUUGGAUACUAUCCGGCCCGAGGAAUGGAGGGGAGACUGGAAUACUUGGUGUAGCAGUGAAAUGCGUAGAUAUCGAGAGGAACACCUGCGGCGAAGGCGGGUUGCUGGGCUGACACUGACGCUGAUGUGCGAAAGCCAGGGGAGCGAACGGG
rnacentral:rRNA from 1 species